rfam:Microscilla marina ATCC 23134 1099589004168, whole genome shotgun sequence.
GCCUCCUUAGCUCAGUUGGUAGAGCAACUGAUUUGUAAUCAGUAGGUCGUUGGUUCGAGUCCAAUAGGAGGCU